GUCAGCGUGGCAUAAUGGUUUCAGCGUUGGAUUACAACCCAGAAGGCCAGGCUUCAAAUCCCAGCUCAGCCA